CCUACGGGUGGCAGCAGUGGGGAAUAUUGCGCAAUGGGCGAAAGCCUGACGCAGCGACGCCGCGUGAGGGAUGAAGGUCUUUGGAUCGUAAACCUCUGUCAGCAGGGAAGAACGGUCACUGUGCUAAUCAGCAGUGAAUUGACGGUACCUGCAAAGGAAGCACCGGCUAACUCCGUGCCAGCAGCCGCGGUAAUACGUAGGGUGCGAGCUUUCAUAGGAAUUACUGGGCGUAAAGCGCUCGUAGGCGGUAUGUCAAGUCAAGGGUGAAAUCCCCGCGCUCAACGUGGGAACUGCCUUUGAAACUGGCAAACUUGAGUGUGUGAGAGGAUAGUGGAAUUCCAGGUGUAGGGGUGAAAUCCGGAGAUAUCUGGAGGAACAUCAGUGGCGAAGGCGACUAUCUGGCACAUAACUGACGCUGAGGAGCGAAAGCGUGGGUAGCAAACAGGAUUAGAUACCCCAGUAGUC
rnacentral:rRNA from 1 species